CACGUAGAAGACUAGUGUUAUUCAUCUUUAUUAGGUUUAAAGGGUACCUAGACGGAAAAUCAAGCUAUAAUAAGUACUAAUUUUCUAGAGUUUAUGAAAGAAGGGGUGAAUUUCCAGAGGAAAGUUGAUAUUUUGUGAUACUGGAAGGACGGGUAACGGCGAAGGCUACCUUAUGUAAAACUGACGUUGAGGGACGAAGCCUUGGGUAACGAGAAGG
rnacentral:rRNA from 1 species